rnacentral:rRNA from 1 species
AAGGCCCCUUCGGGGGUACUCGAGUGGCGAACGGGUGAGUAACACGUGGGUAAUCUGCCCUGCACUUCGGGAUAAGCCUGGGAAACUGGGUCUAAUACCGGAUAGGACCAUUUAGCGCAUGCUUUAUGGUGGAAAGCUUUUGCGGUGUGGGAUGGGCCCGCGGCCUAUCAGCUAGUUGGUGGGGUGACGGCCUACCAAGGCGACGACGGGUAGCCGGCCUGAGAGGGUGUCCGGCCACACUGGGACUGAGAUACGGCCCAGACUCCUACGGGAGGCAGCAGUGGGGAAUAUUGCACAAUGGGCGCAAGCCUGAUGCAGCGACGCCGCGUGGGGGAUGACGGCCUUCGGGUUGUAAACCUCUUUCAGCAGGGACGAAGCGCAAGUGACGGUACCUGCAGAA